UACGGAGGGUGCAAGCGUUAUCCGGAUUCACUGGGUUUAAAGGGGUGCGUAGGUGGGCAGGUAAGUCCGUGGUGAAAUCUCUGAGCUUAACUCAGAAACUGCCGUGGAUACUAUUUGUCUUGAAUGUUGUGGAGGUGAGCGGAAUAUGUCAUGUAGCGGUGAAAUGCUUAGAUAUGACAUAGAACACCAAUUGCGAAGGCAGCUCACUACACAAUUAUUGACGCUGAGGCACGAAAGCGUGGGGAUCAAACAGG
rnacentral:rRNA from 1 species